GCGAACGCUGGCGGCAGGCUUAACCCAUGCAAGUCGAGCGCCCCGCAAGGGGAGCGGCAGACGGGAGAGUAACACGUGGGAACAUACCUUUUGGUUCGGAACAACUGAGGGAAACUUCAGCUAAUACCGGAUAAGCCCUUACGGGGAAAGAUUUAUCGCCGAAAGAUUGGCCCGCGUCUGAUUAGCUAGUUGGUGAGGUAACGGCUCACCAAGGCGACGAUCAGUAGCUGGUCUGAGAGGAUGAUCAGCCUCACUGGGACUGAGACACGGCCCAGACUCCUACGGGAGGCAGCAGUGGGGAAUAUUGGACAAUGGGGGCAACCCUGAUCCAGCCAUGCCGCGUGAGUGAUGAAGGCCUUAGGGUUGUAAAGCUCUUUUGCCCGGGAAGAUAAUGACGGUACCGGGAGAAUAAGCCCCGGCUAACUUCGUG
rnacentral:rRNA from 1 species